AGUAGAAGGAUAACAUGACAUAGCAGGAAUAAUACUGCCUUUUCUUUCUGGCAUGGAUCAAGAGAAAAGAAAAUACAAGAAAACAGACAGAAGCAAGGCAAGGUACUUCUAUGGAAGGGUGAGCCCUCACAGAUGGAGCAAUGGGGCGCGCACACCUGAACAAGGGAGGGGAAGGAGUUCUUAUCCCUGAUGCAUGUGACCCCUGCUGCUGUGUCCUUCCCCUAUUGGCUAAGGCUUCUGACAGCUUUGGAGAUUGUGACAUUGGAAUAAAGGAAAAACGUACAGGACUCAUGAAGCGCUGAAAUGUUCACAAAUAUCAAGCAAAAGUCAAUGAAAUUUAUUUUGAGCUAUUUACAUCAUUUAAUAAUUGAGCAAGGUAUACUCCUAUGAACAAAAUUUGGAGCAUGUUUGUCUCUCUCUGCCUGGCGUCUUCAGAAUUUGGAAACUAGUUAUGGUUUAUAAUCAGCUAUAGAAUUUUAACACGUGCUCUCAAAUGCAAGUUUCUGAUAACUUUGGAGAUUGUGACAUUGGAAUAAAGGAAGAGCUGGAAUGUUCAUGAAUAUCAAGCAAAAGUCAUGGAAAUUUAUUUUGAGCUAUUUACAGCAUUUAAUAAUUGAGCAAGGUAUACUCCUAUGAACAAAAUUUGGAGCAUGUUUGUCUCUCUCUGUCUGCCUGGCAUCUACAGAAUUUGGAAACUAGUUCUACUCCCUCUGCUGGCCUCACCGAUGACUUACCUCAUGAUGAGACCGAGACCAUCAUCCCUGAGGGUGUGACUUCCUGUUCAUCACAGCUUCUCUGGCCAGAUUGCCGUAUCUGUCUUUUUGCAAUUGUCACAAUUGGGUGAAGAAUUACCAAGACCUACUUAACUAGAUUAUCUGGGUGCCACGAAUAUUCACUGCUCCAUUGCAUAACACCACUUUUGCCUUUUCAUCAACAUGAAGGUCAAUUACCAUUGCCAAGAUUGUGACUCCACUUCUUGUCUGCUUGUCCUUGAAACAAAAACCUCAGAGUGCCCAGGGGACAGCUGUGCCCGGUUUCUAGCUCAGUUGGAAACUUGCUUUUUCUAACCCCUUGGGGAACCUGGAUGUCUACUCUAAAGCGUCCAGAGUCGCAGGCAUGGGAAGUACAAAGUCCCAUGGUGGGUCAUGAGAAUAAUGACCUCUGCUUCCCUUCCUUAUAUCACAAAACCAUGUACUCUUUCUUUAGGCCACAGAAUCACAUAAUGGUGUUUGAUGCAAUGUAUAUCCUACCUCCUAGAGGAUGGCAUCUAUAGUAGUCUGUUCUCACGCUGCUAAUAAAGACAUACCAGAGACUGGGUAAUUUAUAAAGAAAAA
ensembl:lncRNA LINC00320 long intergenic non-protein coding RNA 320